rnacentral:rRNA from 1 species
UAGGGAAUAUUGCAAAAUGGGCGAAAGCACGAUGCAGCAACGCCGCGUGGGCGAUGAAGGCCUUCGGGUCGUAAAGCCCUUUUUGAGGGGAUGAGGAAGGACAGUACCCUCAGAAUAAGCCUCGGCUAACUACGUGCCAGCAGCCGCGGUAAAACGUAGGAGGCGAGCGUUAUCCGGAUUUACUGGGCGUAAAGCGCGUGCAGUCGGAUUGGAGAGUUGGAUGUGAAAGCUCCCGGCUUAACUGGGAGAGGUCGUUCAAUACUUCCAGUCUUGAGUGCAGUAGAGGGAAGUGGAAUUCCGGGUGUAGUGAUGAAAUUCGUAGAUAUCCGGAGGAACACCAGUGGCGAAAGCUGCUUCCUGGACUGUAAUUGACGCUCAGACGCGAAAGCUAGGGUAGCAAACG